CAUGACCAAGCAGGAGCGUUUUGAUCUAGCUGUGGGGCUACUACUUUUGAGGGCUGUUCCUGGUGGACAGAAGGAUUGCUUUGAGGGAGAGCUCUCCCUGCAAAGCAACCCUUUCCAGUGCGAUCAAAUUGCACCUUAGAAGCAGCAAAUAUAUUUGUGUGUGACAGGGAAGGUUCUCUGUCUAUUUCAGCAGCAGUGGUAGCUUCCUUUUGAUAACGAGUCCAGGUGUUUAUCGCUACAGCUUACUAAUGGAUUUGACCGCAAAAGUAUACAUGCAAGAGGCAAACUGAAAAAUGAAUGGCAAAACUGCUGAUUUGAUAACCUGAGGCUUGCUUUGCAGUAACCAGCCAAGGCACAAAUUGGUCAAUCCAGGUGUAUCAGGUGUCAACAAUGCAAAGAAUCCUUUUAGCGAUGGCAGUCCAGCUAUGGUACCCGACCCAUGGAAGUGGAUCUAGUGCUAACAUUACGAUUGCUUCAGCAUAAACAUGAAACCCUCACGUUGACUAAGGCACUUAAAACAAUGACCAGAUUCCUGCUGGUGAUUAAUGUGUGCAUAACUUUAAUUGUGCAACUCACUGUAGUGAACUGCUGUUGUUGGUUAAGUAUAACUCUAUAAGUUAGGCAGUCAGGACAAAGUGGACAGUUUAGCUGCCAAUCAAGAAAGCUAAGCAGACAGCCAACUGUUGCAUAUAGUGGUAGUCUUUUUGCACAGAUGUCCUGUGUGAGGAGAUUGUUUGGUGACGUAGUUGUUUGUGAUUUAGAACUUGACUUUGACAGAAUGUUCCUUAGGGGGUUAGGAAGAAUACAACGGAUUCAAUUUUGGAGUUUUUGUGUGUGGCAGGGAGGGAGAGAAGGCUUUCAGAUGUUCUUCUGUUUUUUGAUCUGCAUUUAAAAUGAACUACCAGGGCUUUUACUCAUUAGUAGCAGGAAAUCUACUUAUCUUCUCCUGGAUGCUGCUUGCAAAUGCUGCCAUUUAAUGUGGAAUCAUCCCUAAAGGACACUCUACCUGCAUAGUUCGUGGUCAGGAGAUUGCAUAAUACUGUAUAAAGAAGGAUGUGGUCCUCCCUGUUCUUCAGAAUAUUCCCUAGAUUUUCUGCCAACUUCUGAUACAAUAGUCUUUCACUAAGGUGGUGUUCAAAUAGAAGUGAAACAGCAGGACAGAUCUUGGCUACCUAAAGGUAAUGUUUCCAGAAGAAGCAAAAUGUGUCUCUUUCAUCUGCUAUUUUAAUUUAAAAAAAAAAAGUGUCAGCGCAAGAGAAGCAAUUUCUCAUAGUUUCUCCCUAAUGUUAGUUUUGAAUUAUCUUGAUUCUUGCAUUGUUUGUAAGUUGUAUAAAAUAAACAUAAGUAUAUCAUAGAACCAUGUUCCCGACACAUUGCGGCCCCUUCUGUUUUACUAUUUACUUAUCUAUAUUUUACCACCACCUUCCUUCUUGUAGAGGGACUCAAAGACACAUACAAAUGAUUUAAAAAUACAAAUACUGAAACAAUUACAAAUAUAACAAUUAUAUUAUUGCAAAAAUGAUGUUAUUAAGAAAAUCUGUUAAACAUCUUGGCCCAAAUCCUGCUGCUUAGCAUAGUAAAUCACACUUGAGUAGGUCCAUAAAAUCAAUGGGCAUUUGGUGAAUCAAAUCCGCCCGCCUAUGUUCCACCAAUUCAAGUGAACCUACUCUGAUAGUGAUUUACUUUAAUAUGCUGAGAUCUAAUAUGUU